UACGUAGGGGGCUAGCGUUGUCCGGAAUCAUUGGGCGUAAAGCGCGCGUAGGCGGCCAGAUAAGUCCGGUGUGAAAGUCACAGGCUCAACCUGUGAAUGCCGCUGGAAACUGUCUGGCUAGAGUCCGGAAGGGGCGAGUGGAAUUCCUGGUGUAGCGGUGAAAUGCGCAGAUAUCAGGAGGAACACCGGUGGCGAAGGCGGAUCUCUGGGCCUGUUCUGACGCUGAGGAGCGAAAGCGUGGGGAGCGAACAGG
rnacentral:rRNA from 1 species